rfam:Merops nubicus contig95887, whole genome shotgun sequence.
UGGGGCAUGAACCUGGCAUACAAUGUAGAUUUCUGUGUUUAUUAAGCAACAGCUACAUUGUCUGCUGGGUUUCCAGCUGCCUGG